rnacentral:rRNA from 1 species
GGGUGAGUAACACGUAUGCAACCUGCCCCUGUCAGGGGGACAACCCGCCGAAAGGCGGGCUAAACCCGCGUACAUGCCACCGGGGCAUCCCGGAGGCAGGAAAGGCUUCGGCCGGACAGGGAUGGGCAUGCGGCGCAUUAGGCAGUAGGCGGGGUAACGGCCCACCUAACCGACGAUGCGUAGGGGUUCUGAGAGGAAGGUCCCCCACACUGGUACUGAGACACGGACCAGACUCCUACGGGAGGCAGCAGUGAGGAAUAUUGGUCAAUGGUCGGGAGACUGAACCAGCCAAGCCGCGUGAGGGAUGAAGGUACAGAGUAUCGUAAACCUCUUUUGUCAGGGAACAAAGGCGGGGACGUGUCCCCGGAUGAGUGUACCUGAAGAAAAAGCAUCGGCUAACUCCGUGCCAGCAGCCGCGGUAAUACGGAGGAUGCGAGCGUUAUCCGGAUUUAUUGGGUUUAAAGGGUGCGCAGGCGGUCUGUUAAGUCAGCGGUCAAAGCCCGGGGCUCAACCCCGGCCCGCCGUUGAAACUGGCAGUCUCGAGUUGGAGAGAAGUAUGCGGAAUGCGCGGUGUAGCGGUGAAAUGCAUAGAUAUCGCGCAGAACUCCGAUUGCGAAGGCAGCAUGCCGGCUCCACACUGACGCUGAGGCACGAAAGCGUGGGUAUCGAACAGGAUUAGAUACCCUGGUAGUCCACGCAGUAAACGAUGAAUGCAGGCUGUCCGGG